UAAGAGUAUUCGUUUCAGUAAAACAUCCAAAGUGUCGCCUCGCCAAAUUACGUACAUUUUCAUUUAUUUCCAAAAAAUCAAUGAAAUAGAAGGAAAUAAUGGCUAAGAAUGUUCGAAUUAAAUGAUUGCCCCAAUAAUUUCUACCUGACGUGGAAUCUGCGGUAGGUAAUCAUUUCACAAUUAUUAGUGGUAAACAAAGUUCAGUAAAUUAGUAAACACGGUCAGAGGCUGUCUCAAAACAUAAUCCAAACCACUUGUCUGGGAUAGAGAAGUAAAACAAAUGUUGGUGAUUCACAGGAAUAUUGGUACUACCUACUCUGCGCACGACUAGUAAAUCGCAACUAAGAGAAAAUGUUGUUUCUCCAACGAUGAGUUAGAAGCAAAUGAACAGACGAAUAAACGAUUUGGAGGCCAUGAUUUUAAUUCACCCAGAAAAGCCUUAGAUACCCGAAAAUGUCUAAUUCACACACACUCAUGGGAUUAUAAUACUUAUAAUGUUUUUUCAAAACUGAAAUAUAUGAUGUACCACAUACACGGAACUGCGAAGUGGAGCAAAUGCAUUGACAAAUUUUCAGACGUUGACUUUCUUGGAGAUAAUUCUACCGACUCAUAUGAAGCCAUACAAUAUUGGAGAGAAUUAUGAAACUUAAAGGUAAUACAAUUUUGCUGAGCAAGAAUCCAAUUUUAAUAACGCGGCGGGCUUCAACAUAUUUAUAUUGCAAAGAAACACAUAACUAGUUUGGACAUUGGUAUCUUUUCUGAAGGGAAAGUGCAUCUAGUUGGAUGCGUUAAACAGGUUGUCAAACCCGUUCCCAUUUGCUACGAGGAGAGACAAACUUCUUUGAAAAAACAUUAUGCAAUUACCAAAAAGCUUCAGUGGCUGUUAUUAAAAUUCUUCAACUAUCGACAUUGCACAUAAUUGAUGCAACUUUUCAACUAGGUAUAUUCUGAUAGGUACCUAUUUCCUUUAAUUUGUGUACUUAUUUUACCUAUUUUUCCCCCCACCACCCAUCAGAAAGUGAUUAUUUAGUUUAUUUAAC